GAUUUAAUGGCUUGAGCAUCAGACUACUACUCUGGGGACCGGGGUUCAAAUCCCUGCUUAUCCA
rnacentral:tRNA from 1 species